CCUAAUACAUGCAAGUCGAGCGAACGGACGAGAAGCUUGCUUUUCUGAUGUUAGCGGCGGACGGGUGAGUAACACGUGGAUAACCUACCUAUAAGACUGGGAUAACUUCGGGAAACCGGAGCUAAUACCGGAUAAUAUUUUGAACCGCAUGGUUCAAAAGUGAAAGACGGUCUUGCUGUCACUUAUAGAUGGAUCCGCGCUGCAUUAGCUAGUUGGUAAGGUAACGGCUUACCAAGGCAACGAUGCAUAGCCGACCUGAGAGGGUGAUCGGCCACACUGGAACUGAGACACGGUCCAGACUCCUACGGGAGGCAGCAGUAGGGAAUCUUCCGCAAUGGGCGAAAGCCUGACGGAGCAACGCCGCGUGAGUGAUGAAGGUCUUCGGAUCGUAAAACUCUGUUAUUAGGGAAGAACAUAUGUGUAAGUAACUGUGCACAUCUUGACGGUACCUAAUCAGAAAGCCACGGCUAACUACGUGCCAGCAGCCGCGGUAAUACGUAGGUGGCAAGCGUUAUCCGGAAUUAUUGGGCGUAAAGCGCGCGUAGGCGGUUUUUUAAGUCUGAUGUGAAAGCCCACGGCUCAACCGUGGAGGGUCAUUGGAAACUGGAAAACUUGAGUGCAGAAGAGGAAAGUGGAAUUCCAUGUGUAGCGGUGAAAUGCGCAGAGAUAUGGAGGAACACCAGUGGCGAAGGCGACUUUCUGGUCUGU
rnacentral:rRNA from 1 species